CACCCAGGACGGUGGAUCACUCGGCUCGUGGGUCAAUGAAGAACGCAGCAAAUUGCGCGUCGACAUGUGAACUGCAGGACACAUGAACAUCGACGUUUCGAACGCACAUUGCGGUCCAUGGAUUCCGUUCCCGGGCCACGUCUGGCUGAGGGUCG
rnacentral:rRNA from 1 species